rnacentral:tmRNA from 1 species
GGGGUAGUAAAGGUUUCGACGGGGGCUGUGAAGCUGGAGAAGCUAUCCGCAGGGUGAUGCGUCAAAUCCCAACCUAAAUAUAAACGCUGAUAACAACGUUGAACUCGCUGCAGCCUGACGGCUGCAACUGCCUGAUCUGAAGCACCUGCACUGCAGACUCAGGUAUCGAACUUGCAGGAAACGACUUAUGCGAAGCUUUGAGCAUAUGGGCGUAUCAUGAAGCUACUGAAACCGCAAGGGUGUCUGUUCCCGUGCGGCAGAGGGAACGUCAAUAGACAGACUACGAUAGUAGAAGGACAGGGGAUUGGCUUUCGGACACGAGUUCGACUCUCGUCUACUCCACUC